CUGCCUCAGCCUCCUGAGUAGCUGGGACUACAGGUGUGUGCCACCACGCCGGGCUAAUGAAUUCCAUUUUUAAUAGACUUGGUGCUACCAGUUAGCCAUCUUAAGGUCUUCAAUAUUAUUUUUGUACAAUGAGUCUUCAAAGUUUUUUCCAAAAUCUUUGUUUUCAAAAAGAGGCCAAUCUCUGACGGUUAACAACAAUCUCAUUGAAUUAUUCUAAAGAGCCUUUUUUCUGAGUGAUUACAGGGCUAAUUUUCUUGGUGAAAACUGCAUAUUUAGCUUAGUAGUCAGCUAAGGUUUUAUCACAAGCUUCUGGGUCCUUGUGCUUUGAACGAUGCCCCACUUUUACUACAGCAAUUAAGUUAACAGCAUCUGAAAACAUCCAAGACUUCUUCAAUGUGUCAAUUUUUAUAGGUGUUUCUGUCAAGGUCAGAAAACCUCUUGGUUUCAAGGCAUUUUGAAGUCAGACUAACCUAAAACCAUGUACUUAGUAUCAGCAUAAGUAUUUAUUAUUUUACUUUUUGCCAGUUAAUAAAUCUAUGUAAUCAAUUAAACUAUCUAAACUGAUUUAAUUUCUGUGAGAAGUUUUCCUUUUAAGAGUAAUUUUUUUUUCUUUUGAGACGGAGUCUCACUCUGUCACUUAGGCUAGAGUGCAGUGGCGUGACUCAGCUCACUGCAACCUCCGCCUCCCAGGUUCAAGCAAUUCUCCUGCCUCAGGCUCCCAAGUAGCUGGAACUACAGGCACGGGCCAGCAUGCCCGGUUAAUUUUUGUAUUUUUAGUAGAGACAGGGUUUCACCAUGUUGGCCAGGCUGGUCCGGAACUCCUGACCUCAAGUGAUCCACCCGCCUUAGCCUCCCAAAGUCCUGGGAUUACAGGCGUGGGCCACCACGCCCAACCUUAAGAGUAAAUUUAGGAGUGUGACAGCAUAUCCUAUUUGACAAUUUUUGGUCUUACUCUUUAUGUCUGAAUAAUCAACAAACAAAAUAAAAUCAGCAUUACCCAAGGGAAUCUCUAGAAGGUCUGUGCAAUGUAUGGAUCCUUUUUUUUUUUUUUUUUUUUUUUAAGAGGUAAGCAAUUAAAGGGUCUUCCUUUUGCAGGUAAAGGAAAAAAGGCUGGGUUUAUAGUGUUGCAGCAAUGGGCAGUGAUGUGUGAAAGAGAAAGCAACAAUGCUUUAUAGGUUAGGUAAGGAGGUAAAAAGUGGUGGGUGUUGGCUAGGUGCAAUGGCUCAUGCCUGUAAUCCCAGCGCUUUGACAGGCCAAGGUAGAAGGAUCACUUGAGGUCAGGAGUUUGAGACCAGCUUGGGCAAUAUAGUGAGAUGCUGUCUCUACAUAAAACUAAAAAUAAUAGCCAUGAAUGGUGGCAUGUGCCUAGAGUCCUAGCUACUCUGGAGGCUGAGGCAGGAGGAUCGCUUGUGCCCAGGAGUUUGAGGUUGCAGUGAGCUAUGCACCACUGCACUCCAGCCUGGGUGACAGAGAAAGACUCUGCCUCUAAAAAAGAAAUAAAAAAUAAAAGUAGUGAGUGUUUUUAAAAAAAAUACAAGAGUUUUCACAGCAUGGAGAAACAUCAACUUUAGUCAGAAAUUAAACUAACUGAAGUCUUCACACAUUUUUCUAUUGCUGUUACACCUCUUAAAUAAGAGUGAUAUGUGUUGGCCACUGGGCCUAAUGAAAGACCGAAAUAAACAAUAGGCCUCUAAUGAUUCUAUGAAACAGAGGCAGUAUUCCCUAGUGCCUGUUCAGACUUUUUAUGAACAAAAGGGUAAGUGAGCUUGUGAAUCUAAAAUCCUGGAAAAAUUUUGUGGUGAACAAUUAUUGUAUCAGUUUUUGUGCUUAUACAUGAACAUGCUUCUUCUACUUUGUAAAGUAUUCAAUGACUGAAAUAUAUUCAUAUACAACCUAGCUGUGCUCCACUUAAUGUCAUAGUUCAGACCAGGUCAUAGUAGGUCAAGUAGGACACAAUAUUGCAGUGAAGACGGGACCAUGGAAUAAAUGCAAACUCACUCCCUGGGACAGCUCAGGUACUGAAGAAGAGUCUGAUGAAAACAUCAGAAUCCCACAUUUGUAGUGAGGCUCAUUCCAGAAGAUUACCACCCACUGACCAGGCAAGCAGCUACAUCUCAUGUCAAUCAAGGCCCAUAAGAAGCAGCAGGAAGAGAACAAGGUGAUGGGAGAUGCAGUCAAUGGGGCACGUAGGAAAAGCAGCAGGGUAGAGUCACCAAGCUAGGGCUUAGGGGUAGAACUCUCCAAGAAAGAUGAUUUCUUUACUAUUGAUUGUUUUUCCUCCAACGAGAAUUGGAGAUGGCUUCCAAGGAUUCAUCCAAUCCAGACAAAUUUUAAAUAAAGUAAAAAAAAAAGAAAAAAGGCAAAAGAUAAAGUUACUAAGCAAGUAACCUAGUCCAGCAGUAAGACAAAGAUCCAGCUUUGCCUCAGGGUCUCAAUUCAGAUUAGCAGCAAAAGGGAUCAUUUAAACUAGGGGAUCAUUUAAACUAGCAGGAUCCUGCCUGCUCCUGUCUGGCCAGGUCUACCACUCAACCCAUCCCUCUUUUCCAGGUCCCUGACCCUCCAGAUUGCCUGGUGAUCUAUUGUGUUUCCUUUUGUGUUUCUUUUACUGUUUUGUUUUGUUUUUUUGAGAUGGAGCCUCGCUCUGUCACCAAGGCCGGAGUGCGGUGGCUCCAUCUCGGCUCACUGCAACCUCCACCUCCUGGGUUUAAGCGAUUCUCCUGCCUCAGCCUCCUGAGUAGCUGGGACUACAGAUGCAUGCCACCACGCCCAUCUAAUUUUUGGUAUUUUUUAGUAGAGAUGGGGUUUCAGCAAGUUGGUCUGGCUGGUCUCGAACUCCUGACCUCAGGUGAUUCGCCUACCUCGGCCUCCCAAAGUGCUGGGAUUACAGGCAUGAGCCACUGCACCCAGGCUUCUUUUUCUGUUUUGAGUGUCUUUCUUUGCAUGUUUCUGUAGCCAGAAGAUCUCCAUUCCACUCCCAGGGGCUCCAAAAUAAAUUCUCCUUCCCCCUGGGGAAACGCACUAGCUUGUUUUGGUGGGCUUAGGUGUGGUUUUUGUUUUUCAGUUUGUUGUUGUUGUUGUUUUGUUCCUUUGCCUUUUUUUCACUUUUAUUUGGAGGGAAUGGGAGAAAGUGGGAACAGGGAAGUGGGAGGUGGAUUUUGUUCAUUUUUUUUAGCUCAUUUCCAGGGGGUGGGAAUUUCUUUUAAAAUGUGUCAUGAAUAAAGUUGUUUUUGAAAAUAAAAAAAAAACUAGGGGGUGAAAAAAGGCUUCAAAAAUGAUAAUGGACCCAAAUUUGAAAGGUAAGUGGCAUUUGUCUUGGUGGAGAUGAAGGAAUCAACACCUCCGGUAGAGGGAGAACUGUAGUUCCUCCACUGAGGCCUGAGUAAAGUGCCUGGAGCCGAAAUGAUGGGAAGGAGCCAUGGUAGGUAAAUGAGACUGGAGGGGAACAAGUGACAAAUCUUACAAGGUCCUGAAUGCCUGCUAAGGAGCUAGGCUGGGCUCCUUUGCAAUCACUCAGCACUUCUCAAAAGUUCUGAAGAAUGGAAAACUCAAUCAGAGAUAUGCCUUAGAAAAAUAUGCAGGAUAAUAGGGUAAAUGAUGUGUCUCAAGGUGAAUACUCAUGAAUGUCUAGGUCUGGGAAGAGGGGCAAGGAUGAGUGUUUAACAAAAGUUACCAGGUUAAUGUGAUGUGAGGAGUCUGUGACACCACAAGACUAGGUUGGGACAGUUGGGAAUGAGAGAGAGAAAAUGGGAUCAAGAGAGACUUUAGUGAACUCAUGGUGAAAACAGCCUUCUGUAGGGGUACUUCUGCCCUAAAGGAAGCUGUUCAGAGAGAGGCACACAUUUCCUGACAUUACUACUCACAUGUUAUCACAAGAUUCUCUCUAACUGGCUGAAGAGACCCAUGUGGCCCUAGAAGCUAUUACUCCCCCAAUGACAUCUCUGUCUCCACACACUGCACCAUGCCCUGCAGGAAGGUCCUGAGAUGGUUGAAGAAGUCAUUACUUAUAUUACUACUACAUUGCUAUUCACAUUUCAGCUCUCUAACUGGCUGAGGGGACCCAAGGGAGGGAAAAACCAUAAUGUCUCCAUUGUGAGCCAUAAUAUCCUCUCUAGCUAAAGCUUCCCAUUGGUGGAAGGUGGGCCAAUGGCUGCCGUCCUUCUUAAUGACAUCCUCUGUAACAGCACAAGGUGCUUAACACCUCAGAUUCCGAAAUAAAGGGUUGAACCAUUAAAAGAAACAUGGGUGGCCCUAGAAAUUAGUGUUCUCUCCCUCCCAUGACUUCUCCACAUCCAUACACUGCACGCUUCCUAGGGGAAGGAGGUCAGGGGGUUGCAAAACUCAUCCCUGACAUUACUAUUUACACAUCUGCAGAACCUGUUCUCUGAGUAGUUGAAGGGCCCCUUCGGAGGAAGGAGCCACGAUGCCUCCAUCAUGAGGUCCUGACGUCCUCUCUACUAAGGUUGCCCAUUAAUGGAAGCUGUCCAGUGGCUGCACUCCUAUUUAAUCAAAGCCACUGUAUGACUAGCCAAUGCGUUUGACUCCUAGAACCCCAAAUCAUA
rnacentral:lncRNA from 1 species